UGAAAUUUGCAACAUAUUAACUUAGUCUUAUUUAAACUAAGACAACAUUUCACAUAAAAGAAUUUAACACAAAAAUACAUUUUUCUAAAUCUCAAGAAUUGUAUUGGUUAUACAUACAGUACAGUAUAGUUUAUUGAUUUCAUUUUCAGAGUGAAUUAACUUACGAAAUUAAUAUCUGAAUGGCUUUCAAAACCGGUAAAUUAUAAAUGUAAACAUUAGUAUUUAUACUGCCAACACAAAUUCGAGUCCUGUCUGGACUACGUCAAAAAAAUAACUAGAAAUAAUUAAAAAACAAAAAUCAUAAAAAAAUUAUGAUCCUAAUCAGAAACAUGUAAAAUCACAAAAAUAUUUUACCAAAAAAAAAUUGUGUACCAAUCAGCGGUUUAAACCGGGGGGGGGGGGGGUAUGGGAGUAUCAUGCAGGUAUGCCCACGGGAUUUGACACUUUGUCAAUUUGCCCAGUCGGGAGGGCUACCUUUCUUGGUCAAAGUAUGUCAAUAUUUCUGACCCAGAGUCGUCUGGUGGAAACAAUGACCUAAGGCACCUCAGAAAUAGCAGAAUUCUAAUAGCAAAAAGAGUUUACUGAAAUUUCCACACAAUUUCCAUCAUUUUUCUAAUCCAUGAAAAAUAUCCAUUUCACUUAAAAAAUGCCAUAAAAUAUGGAAAUGGGUCUGAGAGUAGAAAUCAUUCCCCCCUCGUUCCAGACAUCAAAACAAAGAAAUGGCGAAAAAUCACGGAAAUCAAGGAAAAUUACAGAAAAAUCACAGACGAUAUGCUGUAGUGAUGAUUAAUCAUCCAAGGGGAAACAGGUCUCGUCAAAUACUAUGCAUGGGUACGCCCGUUACUCCCAACUCCCCCCCCCCCCUCACCUGGGGCAAACUGCUGAGUGGUGCAUUAAUGUUCCAGAUCAAACUACACUCAAGUCAUGCAUAGCACUAUUAAGAAAUAGUCAGGCAGAUGAAAAAACUCACCAGCCCAAUCAGGGGGCAUUUCUAUUUUGCCUUCAUCUUGUGCCUUUAAGGCUACCAAGUACAUUUAUGUAUGUCGGCGGGCAUUCAUAUUUCUUGCGGCCUUUUGCCAACACAUUUUUCUUCAACACUAACCAAUCAGAUUGCAGAACAAAAAUAGAAAUCGAAUCAAACUACAGCUCGUUCAAUCAAAAGAAAACACGGAGUUCGCUUCAGGAAGCCAUUUAUAAUUGCAUUGUUUACUUUUCAAGUCUAUUUAUACCGUUUGACAUUCGUUCAAUCAUUUCAUUUGUUAAAAUUGUUUUUGGCAUAAUGCUGAUUGGCUAAUUCGCCGUUUGUUGAUUUUUCUAUUUUGUUCUGCAAUGUUGUUCUCUGAGUGGCCCCACUUACUGUAGACGCUCUGUAAACAUGGGCGUACCGGAAGGAAAAAAUUAGGGGGGCGGAAAGAAAUUUGCCCGACCUUUUCGGACUGUGCCCGACCAGUGCCGAAAUUUUUUUUUCCCGGAACAAUUAAUUUUAGCGACCUCACCCCCC